CCUACGGGUGGCAGCAGUGGGGAAUAUUGGACAAUGGGCGAAAGCCUGAUCCAGCCAUGCCGCGUGUGUGAAGAAGGCCUUCGGGUUGUAAAGCACUUUCAGUGGGGAAGAAAGCCUUGGGGCUAAUACCCUCGAGGAAGGACAUCACCCACAGAAGAAGCACCGGCUAACUCCGUGCCAGCAGCCGCGGUAAUACGGAGGGUGCGAGCGUUAAUCGGAAUUACUGGGCGUAAAGCGCGCGUAGGCGGUCUGAUAAGCCGGUUGUGAAAGCCCCGGGCUCAACCUGGGAACGGCAUCCGGAACUGUCAGGCUAGAGUGCAGGAGAGGAAGGUAGAAUUCCCGGUGUAGCGGUGAAAUGCGUAGAGAUCGGGAGGAAUACCGGUGGCGAAGGCGGCCUUCUGGACUGACACUGACGCUGAGGUGCGAAAGCGUGGGUAGCAAACAGGAUUAGAUACCCCAGUAGUC
rnacentral:rRNA from 1 species